ACGAACGCUGGCGGCAGGCCUAACACAUGCAAGUCGAACGCUCGUAGCAAUACGAGAGUGGCAGACGGGUGAGUAACACGUGGGAACCUUCCCUAUGGUUCGGAAUAGCUCAGGGAAACUUGGGGUAAUACCGGAUAAGCCCUUCGGGGGAAAGAUUUAUCGCCAUUGGAUGGGCCCGCGUCGGAUUAGCUAGUUGGUGAGGUAACGGCUCACCAAGGCAACGAUCCGUAGCUGGUCUGAGAGGAUGAUCAGCCACACUGGGACUGAGACACGGCCCAGACUCCUACGGGAGGCAGCAGUGGGGAAUAUUGGACAAUGGGCGCAAGCCUGAUCCAGCCAUGCCGCGUGAGUGACGAAGGUCUUCGGAUUGUAAAACUCUUUUGGCGGGGACGAUAAUGACGGUACCCGCAGAAUAAGCCCCGGCUAACUUCGUGCCAGCAGCCGCGGUAAU
rnacentral:rRNA from 1 species